rnacentral:rRNA from 1 species
AGCGAACGCUGGCGGCAGGCCUAACACAUGCAAGUCGAACGAACCUUUCGGGGUUAGUGGCGGACGGGUGAGUAACACGUGGGAACGUGCCUUUAGGUUCGGAAUAACUCAGGGAAACUUGUGCUAAUACCGAAUGUGCCCUUCGGGGGAAAGAUUUAUCGCCUUUAGAGCGGCCCGCGUCUGAUUAGCUAGUUGGUUGAGGUAAUGGCUCACCAAGGCGACGAUCAGUAGCUGGUCUGAGAGGAUGAUCAGCCACAUUGGGACUGAGACACGGCCCAAACUCCUACGGGAGGCAGCAGUGGGGAAUCAUGCGCAAUGGGCGAAAGCCUGACGCAGCCAUGCCGCGUGAAUGAUGAAGGUCUUAGGAUUGUAAAAUUCUUUCACCGGGGACGAUAAUGACGGUACCCGGAGAAGAAGCCCCGGCUAACUUCGU